AACGAACGCUGGCGGCAUGCCUAACACAUGCAAGUCGAACGAGACCUUCGGGUCUAGUGUCGCACGGUUACUUAACGCGUGGGAACCUGCGCUUAGGUUCGCUAUCACGCCGCGAAGGGGGACCUAAUACCGGGAAAUCUAUUCGCACCAAAGAGUUAUCGCCGUUGGAUGGGUCCGAGUUGGAUUAAAUAGUUUGUAGAGUAAAAGGCUACCAAGGCGAAUAUCCAUAGCUGGUCUGAGAGGAUGAUCAGGAACACUGGGACUGAGACACGGACCAGACUCCUACGGGAGGAAGCAGGGGGGAAUAUUCGACGAUGGGCGAAAGAAUGAUCCAGCCAUGCCGCGUGAGUGAUGAAGGCCUUAGGGUUGUAAAGCUCUUUUACAAGGGAUGAUAAUGACAGUACCGGGAGAAUAAGCUCCGGCUAACUCCGUG
rnacentral:rRNA from 1 species